rnacentral:tRNA from 1 species
GCACCCGUAGCUCAACUGGAUAGAGCACUUGUCUUCGGAACAAGUGGUUAGGGGUUCAAAUCCUCUCGGGUGCGCCA